rnacentral:rRNA from 1 species
GAUGAACGCUGGCGGCGUGCCUAAUACAUGCAAGUCGAGCGAACGGACGAGAAGCUUGCUUCUCUGAUGUUAGCGGCGGACGGGUGAGUAACACGUGGAUAACCUACCUAUAAGACUGGGAUAACUUCGGGAAACCGUAGCUAAUACCGGAUAAUAUUUUGAACCGCAUGGUUCAAAAGUGAAAGACGGUCUUGCUGUCACUUAUAGAUGGAUCCGCGCUGCAUUAGCUAGUUGGUAAGGUAACGGCUUACCAAGGCAACGAUGCAUAGCCGACCUGAGAGGGUGAUCGGCCACACUGGAACUGAGACACGGUACAGACUCCUACGGGAGGCAGCAGUAGGGAGUCUUCCGCAAUGGGCGAAAGCCUGACGGAGCAACGCCGCGUGAGUGAUGAAGGUCUUCGGAUCGUAAAACUCUGUUAUUAGGGAAGAACAUAUGUGUAAGUAACUGUGCACAUCUUGACGGUACCUAAUCAGAAAGCCACGGCUAACUACGUG